AUCCAGCUGAAGAGUCCUAAAGAGGAUGAAACGCGCAUCUUGGAU
rnacentral:hammerhead_ribozyme from 1 species